CCGUGAGGGAAAGAUGAAAAGCACUUUGGAAAGAGAGUUAAACAGUAUGUGAAAUUGUUGAAAGGGAAACGAUUGAAGUCAGUUGUGUCGUGAGAAUUCAGCCGGCCCUGCCGGUGUACUUUCUCUCGACGGGUCAACAUCAGUUUUGACCGGCGGAUAAGGGAGACGGGAAUGUGGCACCCUCGGGUGUGUUAUAGCCCGUUGCCGCAUACGUCGGUCGAGACUGAGGCAUGCAGCUCGCCCUCCGGGGCCGGGGUUCGCCCACGUCCGAGCUUAGGAUGUUGACGGAAUGGCUUUAAACGACCCGUCUUGAAACACGGACCAAGGAGUCUAACAUAUCUGCGAGUGUUUGGGUGUCAAACCCGGACGCGCAAUGAAAGUAAACGUAGGAGGGAUCCGCAAGGAGCACCUUCGACCGAUCUGGAUCUUCUGUGAUGGAUUUGAGUAAGAGCAUAUAUGCUGGGACCCGAAAGAUGGUGAACUAUGCCUGAAUAGGGCGAAGCCAGGGGAAACUCUGGUGGAGGCUCGUAGCGAUUCUGACGUGCAAAUCGAUCGUCAAAUUUGGGUAUAGGGGCGAAAGACUAAUCGAACCAUCUAGUAGCUGGUUCUUGCC
rnacentral:rRNA from 1 species